GCAUAAUAAAUAGUUUUUUAAUUGGAAACUGGAAUGAAGGGUUAGACUAAAGAGAGGGUUUUAUUUAAUAAUUUUGAACUUAAAUUAAAAGUAAAAAUGCUUUUAUAAAGUUUUGGGACGAGAAGACCCUAGAAGCUUAAAAAAUUUUUUGUUGGGGUAAUAUUUGAAGAUAAAAAUUUUUAAAGUUACUCUAGGGAUAACAGCAUUAUUUAAUUAGCAAGUUCUUAUUAAUAAUUAAGUUUGUGACCUCGAUGUUGAAUUAAUU
rnacentral:rRNA from 1 species